AGUAGCUCAGUUGGUUAGAGCACAUGACUGUUAAUCAUGGGGUCGUUGGUUCAAGCCCAUCCU
rnacentral:tRNA from 1 species